UUUCCAGUGUCUUUGUCUACGACCUAUGGUGUUCCAAUGGAACCACUUCGCACUUUCGCCUUUAGGGCGAAGAAACGAGAGGGCGAAAGAGGAAAGUGCGACGGCGAAGGCAAGAAAAACGUCAAUUUUUGUUUGUUUCGUUGUUGCGAGUAAACCUUGACUUACAUUUUUGGAAACCGGCCAGAUACCCCAAGGGUGUUGUCAUUGACGCCGAUUCAGAUGUUGCAACAGUUUUUCACCGUAAAUUCACGUCAAAACAGCGCUGAGGAAAAAGAAUUUCCGAAUUUUCCUUCGAAUUUGGCCCGUUUCCGCCUGCGACAAGGGCUAACCUUUAAUGUUAUAAAAAAAAACAUGUGGGAAGAUGGAUGAAAAGUUCCUGACUUGUGGUCUUUACUUUUCAAGCACACGUAUAACCUAAUAAUGAUGAGUCCAUUCAUACAAUGGUCAUUCUGUAAUGGAUAAAUAACGAGAUAGUGUUGAAUGGUUUAGGGAUGUUUUCCUUAACUAUUCAACACUAUCGAGUUAUUUAUCUUACUUAAAAAAAAUUCCCUCCACUGGACCUCAAAGAAGCAAUGAUCCAUUCAUAUAUCCAACUGUUCUGUAAUACAAAAGCACCUAGCUCAUUUAUAAUUCCAACAGUACUAUACACAGAUACACAAUAGUCUUACCAAACACACCUUUUAUUCAUGGACGAGUUAACAUGUGCUCAUGUUAAAGAAAACCAUUCAGCUGUACUGAGCAGACAUAGAUUUAGUUGAUGAAUUAGUAUAGAAGUCCACAGUUCCGGGAAAGGCACGGAUACCGUUUGAAUGAUAUUUUAUACUUUCAAGGAGAAAGGAAAAAUCAGAAUUGUGACGUAAAUUAACAGACGAUGAUGUGUGAAAAAAUUUGAUAGGAGUCUUACGAAGUCAUAGUGCGACAAUAUUCCUUUUAUUGUUAAAACUAAUGAAAAGGAGCGUUAUGGUUCAAGGCUGAACGAGGAAGUCUAAAAGUUUUUAUGGAAGUGAUUUAAUAUGUGAUCCCAAGUCUAUUAAAAUUAAGAAAAGGAAAUACAUGUAUUUCUGCUGAAAUUUCAUUCUUGGCUUAUCGGAUGUACAUGUAUGGAUGACUAGAUUCUGUGUUAUAAAUUUGGAUUUAUGCUGAAAUACACGUUUUCAACAUUU
rnacentral:sRNA from 1 species